CCGAACAAGUCGUCGGGAAAUCCACGUGCUUAACGCGUGGGCGACCGGCGGAAACUGUUCGGCUUGGGGCCGGAGGACCCGAGGGGUACGUCCGGGGUAGGAGUGAAAUCCUGUAAUCCUGGACGGACCGCCGGUGGCGAAAGCGCCUCGGGAAGACGGACCCGACAGUGAGGGACGAAAGCUGGGAUCUCGAACCGGAU
rnacentral:rRNA from 1 species